UGCAUUUGAUAAUAUGAUGCCAUAUUUUUUUGUUUUAUGUGCGUACUUUUGUGCAGAGCUUUAUUUUUAAAUUGUAACUUUUUGUGGUUUGUUGGUUUUUGUUUAGAUAUUGUAACAAAGUGGUGUCUCUCAGCAAAGUUGUAUCAAAUUGUUUUGUGGAGGUAUGAAAUCCUUUCAAAAUUAGUCAAUACUAUUUGCUUUGUCAUUGUCAAAAAAUCCAUUGAUUUAGCAAUAUAUUGUAAUUUAUUAUGCAAAUUUUAUAUUUUUACCUCAAUAACAUUAUACAUUAUUUUCAUGAUUAUGUACAAGGGAAACAGUCAAAGUGUUGUUUGGAGGUACAUUGUAGUGGGGAAGACCUGAGAAACUGUGAUUACCCGAGGCCAAGGCCAAGGCAACAGUUUCCCAGGUGUUCCCACUAUCGAGGGAGAACAGUUUGACUGUUGCCCAAUAGUCAUGAAAUAAGUGUAUUAUUACUUAACCUAUUAUAUUAUUCCUUGUAGUAAAAUAUAGGUCUAAUUAUCAAUAGACUUUUUUUUCAUUUAUCUUUUGUUGUAACGUCAGCAACAAUUCAUCAUGUUUAUUUGAACUAAGUACUUAAUUCCUAUGCUGUAUGGUAUUAAGUCAGAAAUAUAGAAGGGUAUAACAUUGUUGUUAAAGCAUUAUGUCAUGAUGACAUAAAUGUUUGACUAUCACUGUCAUCCUGAAGCUUUAACUAACAGUAUUUCUUCUUGUGACUGGUAUACAGUUCAUCUGUUUUACAAUAAGCAAAUUAAACCAUUUGAAAAAAAUAAAGAAAACUCCAACAGCUUUCAAUGCCUAAUAACAAUUUACGAGGGCUAUUAGGUAAAAAUACAAACUGUUAUGCAUCUGAGUACUGUCUGAAAGUGCAAGUCUCCUUAUUAAAGAGGAAAACAGAUUAUACAUAUAAUUGUCUGUCUACAGAGGUCUGAGUGAAGGUCUUUUUGUUAUUGUUGUGUAUUUAUGAUUGCAUGUAAUGCCUGGGUAAUUUUAGUUCUUUAAAUAUAGGUGCAAUUUUGAUUUUUAUUGAUAUUUGAAAUGUCAACACAUGAUGCUGUAUGGGUAGUUUUUACUUUUUUGAGUUUGAUUAUAAGAUGAAUCUCACAAAAAUCUUAGGAAUCUCAAAUACAUGUACAUUGUACACUGUAACUUUAUCAAAGUUUACUUUUUUCAAAAAGGCUAUUUUUAUGUUUGAAUAACAAAAUUGAUCACAGAGUAAUCUUGUUUGUUGAACUGAAGUUAGGUGCAUGCAUACCAAGACAUUGUUACAUUUUUUUUUAUAUCCACCCAAUGCACCCUUAUUUAGCUGUAUGGGAAAUUUCAAAAUUUUGAUAACAACUUACUCAUCAUAAAGAAUAAUUUUUUUUCCAGAAUUUUAAAAUGUGACAAUUAUGAUUUGGAUUAGGUUCGAGGACUUACACAGAUUGACAGAGUUUAAUAAUACAUAUAUCUGUUGUAGAGGAUUACUGAAGCUGUACACACAAUAUUCAUAUGGUAAUACUAUGUAAAACACAAUAAUUGAAUUUGACCAGGUGAUUGUUCAGAAAUAAAAUCAGAUAUAUGUAAA